UGGGGAAUAUUGCACAAUGGGCGCAAGCCUGAUGCAGCAACGCCGCGUGAGGGACGACGGCCUUCGGGUUGUAAACCUCUUUUAGUAGGGAAGAAGCGGAAGUGACGGUACCUGCAGAAAAAGCACCGGCUAACUACGUGCCAGCAGCCGCGGUAAUACGUAGGGUGCGAGCGUUGUCCGGAAUUAUUGGGCGUAAAGAGCUCGUAGGCGGUCUGUCGCGUCUGCUGUGAAAACCCGAGGCUCAACCUCGGGCCUGCAGUGGGUACGGGCAGACUAGAGUGCGGUAGGGGAGAAUGGAAUUCCUGGUGUAGCGGUGGAAUGCGCAGAUAUCAGGAGGAACACCGAUGGCGGAGGCAGUUCUCUGGGCCGUAACUGACGCUGAGGAGCGAAAGCGUGGGGAGCGAACAGGAUUAGAUACCCUGGUAGUCCACGCCGUAAACGUUGGGCGCUAGAUGUGGGGACCAUUCCACGGUUUCCGUGUCGCAGCUAACGCAUUAAGCGCCCCGCCUGGGGAGUACGGCCGCAA
rnacentral:rRNA from 1 species